UACGAAGGUCCCGAGCGUUGUUCGGAAUCACUGGGCGUAAAGGGAGCGUAGGCGGCGCGGUAAGUCAGAUGUGAAAUCCCGGGGCUCAACCCCGGAACUGCAUCCGAUACUGCCGUGCUAGAGGAUUGGAGAGGUAGCUGGAAUUCUUGGUGUAGCAGUGAAAUGCGUGGAGAUCAAGAGGAACACGCGUGGCGAAAGCGAGCUACUGGACAAUAUCUGACGCUGAGGCUCGAAGGCCAGGGUAGCGAAAGGG
rnacentral:rRNA from 1 species